AUUGAACGCCGGCGGCAGGCCUAACACAUGCAAGUCGAACGGUAACAGGAAGCGGCUUGCUGCUUUGCUGUCGAGUGGCGGACGGGUGAGUAAUGUCUGUGACACUGCCUGAUGGAGGGGGAUAACUACUGAAAACGGUAGCUAAUACCGCAUAACGUCGCAAGCCCAAAGAGGGGGACCUUCGGGCCUCUUGCCAUCGGCUGUGCCCAGAUGGGAUUAGCUAGUAGGUGGGGUAACGGCUCACCUAGGCGACGAUCCGUAGCUGGUCUGAGAGGAUGACCAGCCACACUGGAACUGAGACACGGUCCAGACUCCUACGGGAGGCAGCAGUGGGGAAUAUUGCACAAUGGGCGCAAGCCUGAUGCAGCCACGCCGCGUGUAUGAAGAAGGUCUUCGGGUUGUAAAGUACUUUCAGCGGGGAGGAAGGGAGUAAAGUUAAUACCUUUGCUCAUUGACGGUACCCGCAGAAGAAGCACCGGCUAACUCCGUG
rnacentral:rRNA from 1 species